UUACAAUCACGCCGCCCAUCUUGAGAGAUGGGGGCCACAGGCGACGAGGCCGACGUGCCGUCGUCUCUUCUUGUGGCCUGCCCGGAUCCCCGCCGUCCACUUCACCGGCGUCGUCGCCAUCGUCCUCGCGUGCACACGGCAGGAGGAGCGCGGGAGACGUGGAGCCGCUGCUGUGAACGCCGCCGUGGUCCUCGCGUGCACACGGCAGGAGGAGCACGGGAGACGUGGAGCCACCGCUGGGGCCGCUGCCGUCGUCCUCGCCUGCACAUGGCAGGAGGAGCGCGUGAGACGUGAGCCGCUGCUGGGAAUGUCGGGCGAUUAUCUGCAGAUCGGUAAGCCCUACCGGCCUCAUGUACCUAGCACGAGAUGAAAGAGGGAUUUAGAGAAGGGAGGAAGCAGGAGGAGAAGAGGAAGCCAACCAGGUCCGGUUUCGAUCUGGUGGACAGGGUCAGUUGCUCCUCUGGUGGAUAGGGUCAAUUGCUCCGAUUUGGACUAGCAGCAGCAGCUGCUGCUGCAGGUGGACGAGGCAUGAGCCCUCAUGGCUGCUCCCUCCUCCUACCCCUGAUGUGGUUAACCACAUCUGCUAGGAUGGCUUUAUUUUUCUUUUCUGGUGGGGAAUGCAAGGAUCGAGUGGUCAUCUCUCUCAUAACUCAUAAGCACAAUAUGUCACUGGAAACGUCACGGUUAUUUCUAAUGCACCAUUUUCCUGGCUUUCAUGGGGUUUGAUGUAAAUCGGUUAAUGGCUAUGUGACAAUAUCUGUCUGCCGACUGUGUUAUUUGCUCGGGAAAGCUUCUUACAUUAUAAACUAUGCAAACUGAUGUUAUGCCUCCUGAAGCACCUUACAUUGUUAAAUUUACAUAAGAGAUUCUGGUUAGGUAACAUGGACAUACUAAUUGGAUUUUCCAAGCAUCAUUUGCAUUGUUGUUUCGUUAUUUUGAAUGGCAGACAUUUGCUUAAAUUUAUGAUGUUACCUCUAAUCCUUAUUGUUAUAGUUAAUAUGUUUCUAUUUUUGGACUGAUUGAUCUCGAUUGAGGAAACACAAGGUAAAGAGCAGCUAAGUCCUAAAUGGUAGAUAGGGCAUGUGAUUUAUCUCUGUUAGUUUUUCAAUCAACAACUUAAACCAACAUUCGAUAUUAGUCAAUCUGAGUGCAGGCUGAAUGUGGAAGUUGAUGAACAUGGUCAUUCUUGCUGUUCAGAGUACAUAAGCGAUCACCAUUGAGGUCAACCUGUAAUCAUGUCUGUAAUGCAAGUGCUUGCGUAAUUAGACAGUACACAUGGGAAAAUAAUUGACCCAUCCAAUGUAUUCCAUUUAUAUUAGAUAGUAGAUAUGAAUAUUGCUUCUUUAUAGUCAAGUGUCAGUAUUUGAUUAUCCGGGUAUUAAUAGGAAUUCUAGCCACAAGAUUUUCUUCACCAAGAUGUAUAUAGACACAACUUUCUAGAAAUCUAAAAUAAGUAGUAUGUUCAGGAAGCUAGCUUACAAGAAUUUCGUUUUUGGUUUUAUGCCAAUCUCGGUUGGUGAAUUAUUUUAAGGCGCGUUCUUAUAAUUUUUACGGUCUUUGUAAGCUUGGAUGGUCUGUUAAUUUACUUCCUUCAUCCUCCCUCCUGGUGCUGACACUUAAUUUACUUCCUUCAAUGGUGAGGUUGUACACGGCGGAAGGGGAACGGGCGGGGUACAUGACCAAGUGGGAGGAGCUCCAUCCAGUUUCGCAGCACCUUCUCCUGCAAAUCGAGGAAAAGAUAAGGAAUGAGAGGCAUGCGUGUGAGCAGGUGGAACAAUGCAAGCGCCUCAGUGACCCAUCAGUCUCCAACAAGGGUUUUGAACUGGAUGCUCAUCAGAUUACCCAGGUCAGCCGUCAGCAGGGGUUGUUUUCCUGGGUUAUGAGCUGAUUGCUAGGGAGGUGUACACUAGAGGACAUGUUCACCACUGAUAAUUCAAUGGAGUGUGUAGACUGAUAUAGUACCUACUACCUACUCAAAGGAGGAAAGGUCUAAGUCCCAGAUUUAUAUGGGUAAAGUUUUCGCAGUUAAUAAGUUGUUUCAGAGAGUGCUUAGCCUGAUGCUUUGAAGAUCAAGUUUCAGCGUGGCUUACAAUGUUAGAUCAGUUUGAGUUUUUGUACCAAGUUGAAAGCCUAAUGCUCCAAAUGGUACAUUCUAAUUUUAUAACUAUCCCUUAUUUUCUUAAUCUGUAAAUGACAAACCACCCGUAUGCUCUCCAAAUUCAGGGUAAAACUGAACCUAAAUUCAGAUAUAUUUUGAUGUAAUCAUAUAUUAGUUGCAACUAGAUUAUAUGAGCAUAUCAGACUAUAUGGUCUCAUAGACCUUUAGAAGUUGUUGAUAUUCUCUAUUUUUGGCCACAUCAUUUCUGUAAAAAUAGUAGAGUCGCUAACACAUCUGCACAACCUAUAGCUUAUUACAUAUAUACGCUUGGUCUUCUGUUCUGUGCAGCGAAACCAUGGUUUUUUCUUCUUCUAAGAAAAUGAUGUAUAUUAGUGUUCUAUCCACAAGAUCUAUGUAAAUUAGAAAUUUAGAAGUAAUGCCUUCCAUGUAAAUACAAGCAUUAUGUUAUUUCGUGGUAUGAUGAAAAAGUUCACCUAGGUCCACUUGCUUUUAUUUGUUGUUUUUAUUCCGAUAAUGUCUGAUUUAUAGUUUCAGUUUCAUCAGCACAAAUAGACUCAACGGUGUAAUGAUUCAGUUUCACAUAUAUUUUGCCAGUAUGCUAUUUAUAAUUUUUUCCAUGAUCCAAGAUGUCAGAUUUAUGAGCUUAUGCUAUUUGAUGCAAUUUCAAAAAGUAUCGGUAAGGUAAAAAUGAUCUACAAGCUUAUUGCAUUCAAAAGUAGUUAUCCAAGAGUUUUCUGUAUGCAACUUUAGGUAUAUGGGGUUCAGGAAUAUCAUUUGUACUGAAUUUUACUGUCUAGAAUUUAGCUUGUACUGUCAUUUCUGAAAGACAGUAACACAAAAAGGUCUGAUCCGACUCCAUAAUUUUACUGUAUGAGACAGCCUGUAUAAUUUUCGGUUUGUAGAGCUCUGUGGUGUCCUGUUUUUCUGUUGUUUUAUUUUUUUCUAUUGCUGAUCAUGUGCAUGUUGUCCUAAAUUGUAUAGUACAAUUACAAGUCCAAACCUGGACAUUUUCAGAAACCGGACAUUUUUAGAACCUGAACAUUUGCAGUUAGUGGCUCAAGACUGCUCCACUAAAGGAGUAGACAUUUAACUUAAUCAAAUUCACCAUCUAAACAAAUACUCCUAUAAUUCCAUCUGAGUAGACAUUUAACAUUAGGUAGUCCCAUUUUAAUUUAAAUGUAUUCUAUUUUUGUUGCAAUAGCCCAUUAGAGUGAAUUUUCAUUCACGAGCGGAUCUUUUUUUUGAUGUGUUUGAUUCGAGGCGCCUCCUCCCUAUGGCCUCGGCGCCUCCUCCCGGGCUCUCUCGGAGGUGAAUGUAGCGACAACGUGUGCGUGGUGGUCGAGCAUGGUAGCGCUGAUGGGUGCCGUCUCCGUCGACUGGAGAAGCGCAGGUCGUGGCUCACGCCGCUGCUCUAUUGGGGGCAUCAGCCUUCGUACUCGCGUUGCGCGUGCGCUCAGUGAACCAACAGAGUCAUGGAUGCAGUGAGCGUUGGGUGCUGUGUCCGUCGGCUGAGCGGCAAGCCAGAGCUGCAAGUCGUUGAACAUGGGGUGCUACUGUGAUGAUCUCAUGUCUCACGCUCUGUGUGCGUAUCUCUCUGUCCUGUGCCUUUUUGCUAUUCAUUCAUGCCUCUUAGAAUCACUAAGUUUUUUCUUGGUUUUGUAGUUGUGGGUUGCUGUUAAGAUGGUUACCCUUUUGAGAAAAGAAUGAUUACCCUGAUUAGUUAGGAUUUAAAUGCUACAAGUGGUUUGCUGUUAAGAAUCAUUGGAUGGACUCUUUAAGUUUCACUCAUAAGUGUUUACCAUUUAUGAAUUUGAAUUCUCUUUUCGGACAAUAUAUAAACUUUUGUGCUAUGCAGUCGAUUAGGAUCAA